UACGGGAGGCAGCAGUGGGGAAUAUUGCACAAUGGGCGCAAGCCUGAUGCAGCCAUGCCGCGUGUAUGAAAAAGGCCUUCGGGUUGUAAAGUACUUUCAGUCGUGAGGAAGGUGUUAAGGUUAAUAACCUUAGCAAUUGACGUUAGCGACAGAAGAAGCACCGGCUAACUCCGUGCCAGCAGCCGCGGUAAUACGGAGGGUGCGAGCGUUAAUCGGAAUUACUGGGCGUAAAGGGCACGCAGGCGGUUAAUUAAGUUGGAUGUGAAAUCCCCGGGCUUAACCUGGGAAUGGCAUUCAAGCUGGUUAGCUAGAGUCUUGUAGAGGGGGUAGAAUUCCAUGUGUAGCGGUGAAAUGCGUAGAGAUGUGGAGGAAUACCGGUGGCGAAGGCGGCCCCUGGACAAAGACUGACGCUCAUGUGCGAAAGCGUGGGGAGCAAACGAGGGAUUAGAUACC
rnacentral:rRNA from 1 species